GACGAACGCUGGCGGCGUGCUUAACACAUGCAAGUCGAACGGAAAGGCCCUGCUUUUGUGGGGUGCUCGAGUGGCGAACGGGUGAGUAACACGUGAGUAACCUGCCCUUGACUUUGGGAUAACUUCAGGAAACUGGGGCUAAUACCGGAUAGGAGCUCCUGCUGCAUGGUGGGGGUUGGAAAGUUUCGGCGGUUGGGGAUGGACUCGCGGCUUAUCAGCUUGUUGGUGGGGUAGUGGCUUACCAAGGCUUUGACGGGUAGCCGGCCUGAGAGGGUGACCGGCCACAUUGGGACUGAGAUACGGCCCAGACUCCUACGGGAGGAAGCAGUGGGGAAUAUUGCACAAUGGGCGGAGGCCUGAUGCAGCAACGCCGCGUGCGGGAUGACGGCCUUCGGGUUGUAAACCGCUUUCGCCUGUGACGAAGCGUGAGUGACGGUAAUGGGUAAAGAAGCACCGGCUAACUACGUG
rnacentral:rRNA from 1 species